rnacentral:rRNA from 1 species
UGGGGAAUCUUGGACAAUGGGGGAAACCCUGAUCCAGCCAUGCCGCGUGAGUGAUGAAGGCCUUAGGGUUGUAAAGCUCUUUCGCCCACGACGAUGAUGACGGUAGUGGGAGAAGAAGCCCCGGCUAACUUCGUGCCAGCAGCCGCGGUAAUACGAAGGGGGCUAGCGUUGUUCGGAAUUACUGGGCGUAAAGCGCACGUAGGCGGCUUGGUAAGUUGGGGGUGAAAUCCCGGGGCUCAACCUCGGAAUUGCCUUCAAGACUGCUUGGCUUGAGUUCGGAAGAGGUGAGUGGAAUUCCCAGUGUAGAGGUGAAAUUCGUAGAGAUUGGGAAGAACACCAGUGGCGAAGGCGGCUCACUGGUCCGAUACUGACGCUGAGGUGCGAAAGCGUGGGGAGCAAACAGGAUUAGAUACCCGCGUAGUCC